GGUUAAGCUACAAAGAGCGUAGGGAGGAUACCUAGGCACCAAGAGCCGAAGAAGGACGUGAUAAGCUGCGAAAAGCUAUGGUAAGGAGCAAAUAUCCUAUGACCCAUAGAUAUCCGAAUGAGGGAACUCAUCCACAGAAAAAAGUGUGGAUAUCCAUAUAUGAGUAAAGUAGUAUAUAGGAAGGGAACGCAAGGAACUGAAACAUCUUAGUACUUGUAGGAAGAGAAAGAAAAAUCGAUUCUGUGAGUAGUGGCGAGCGAAAGCGGAAGAGCCCAAACCAAUGUUGCUUGCAACGUUGGGGUUCGGACUACAUAAUCCAUUUAUCGAGCGAAUAAGAAUUGUUUGGGAAGGCAAAUCAUAGAAGGUGAAAAUCCUGUAUUAGAAGCAAGAUGAAGGAGGUAGUAUCCAGAGUAGUGCGAGGCACGUGAAACCUCGUAUGAAAGAGCGGGGACCACCCCGUAAGGCUAAAUACUACUUGGUGACCGAUAGAGAUUAGUACCGUGAGGGAAAGGUGAAAAGAACCCCGGGAGGGGAGUGAAAUAGAACAUGAAACCCUAUGCUUACAAACAGACAAAGCACGUUAAGGUGUGAUGUCGUACUUUUUGUAGAACGGUCCAGCGAGUUAUUGUAUAUGGCAAGGUUAAGCACUAUGUAAGGUGUGAAGCCGAAGCGAAAGCGAGUCUGAAAAGGGCGAAUUAAGUCAUAUGUAAUAGACCCGAAACCGGGUGACCUAACCAUGGUCAGGAUGAAGCUUGAGUAAAAUCAAGUGGAGGUCCGAACUGAUAAGCGUUAAAAAGCUUCCGGAUGAACUGUGGUUAGCGGAGAAAUUCCAAUCGAACUCGGAGAUAGCUGGUUCUCCUCGAAAUAGCUUUAGGGCUAGCCUUGAUGUAAAGAUAUAUGGGGGUAGAGCACUGAAGGUGCUAGGGGCCUAAACCAGGUUACUGAACACUAUCAAACUCCGAAUACCAUAUAUUAGUAGUCAGGAGUCAGACUGCGGGAGCUAAGUUCCGUGGUCAAAAGGGAAAGAGCCCAGAUCGUCAAUUAAGGUCCCAAAGAUAUAGCUAAGUGGGAAACGAUGUGAAAUUGCGUAAACAACCAGGAUGUUGGCUUAGAAGCAGCCAUACAUUUAAAGAGUGCGUAAUAGCUCACUGGUCGAGUGAAUUUGCGCGGAAAAUUACCGGGGCUAAGCUAUACACCGAAAUUGCGGGUUAUGAUGUAUCUAAUAAUGUGUAUCAUAA
rnacentral:ncRNA from 1 species